UCAUUUGAUUGGGAAAUACUUCUGCAAGGCAUUAUGGCAAAGUCAGCUGGGUGUUUGUCCUGCUCCCUCCCAGAAAAUGAAUGCACAUGUUGAAUGUCUUAUGAAGAAACAUGGAUGAGACUUGUCUGCAAGGAAGAGGCUGUGGAGGAACCCAAAUACUCCAGCCUUCAGAUGCUACAGUCUUGAAUGCCACGGGAUGAGAUGUUCAGCAACACAGAAGCAGGAGAUCAUGGGGGGAAACCUCUUUGUCCAGAUUACACCUGCAUUGAGAUAAAUUUUAAUGAUGAUUUUUUAGACUGUAGCUACCAAUUAAGCUCAAGUUAAUGCUGGUGAGAAACUACAGUAGGUAAUUCAAGGAGGCUAUAUAUUUUCUUAAAUUCAUUAGCUGUCCAUUGAGGGUUGAAGAGAACAUAACUAAAAAUAAUUACAUAUGAAUUAUGAAGUUCAAAUAGAAUGUGUUACUUUGCUCAUACAAAACUUCAAGAGAGACAAAUCAGAGAGGUUUAUUAGUAUAUUCUACUUUUUCAACAAGCCUUAGAAGGAAGGGAAAAUAUAAUAAUGUAAAGGAGUUGAAGAUUCAUGUUUCCAUAAUAGCUGUAUCUGCACUAUGCUACCUGUGAAAUUUAUUCUCUGGGGGUGGUGAGACUGUUAAAUAGCUUUUAUUUCUCAGCCAUCUUUAUUUUUUCCCCUGUAAGCAGCUCUUUUUUGUAUGUCCAUUAACAUGCAAUCCUCUCCUACGCAGAACUUUCUUCAGCUGCAUUACACCUGAGCCAGGGGUUUUGCAGGGAGCAAAGGGCAGCACAAAAAACUGAUCAUAAAUACACUCCCAAAAAUUCAUUUUUAUUUGAGCUCAUUCAUUCUAAUUGUUCUCUUGAG